UACGUAGGGCGCAAGCGUUAUCCGGAAUUAUUGGGCGUAAAGAGCUCGUAGGCGGUUUGUCGCGUCUGCUGUGAAAACUGGAGGCUCAACCUCCAGCCUGCAGUGGGUACGGGCAGACUCGAGUGCGGUAGGGGAGAUUGGAAUUCCUGGUGUAGCGGUGGAAUGCGCAGAUAUCAGGAAGAACACCGGUGGCGAAGGCGGGUCUCUGGGCAGUAACUGACGCUGAGGAGCGAAAGCGUGGGGAGCGAACAGG
rnacentral:rRNA from 1 species